CAGCACUGAGGUCGGGUUCUCUUCCAUUAGGACUACCCUACAGAAAAGGGAAGGCUUAUCUUUAGCCGGUAGUAGGGGAGGCGGUUAGGACCCCCAAUCCCCCCUCUCUUACCCCUGGUAUUAUUACCUGGUCUUUUCGGCCUCCAAAAUUGCACCUUCAUCAAGGAAUACGAAAUGGCAUAUAUAUACAGCUGGAUGCCUCGGGGUUACAGAACUGAGGUCGGGUUCUCUUCCAUUAGGACUGAGAGGGUCUACCCUACUGAAAAGGGAAGUCUUAUCUUCAGCCGGUAGUAGGGGAGGCGGUUAGGACCCCUAAUCCGUCCCUCUCUUUCCCCUGGGUUACAGCACUUGAGAGGUCUACUCUACAGAAAAGGGAAGGCUUAUCUUCAGCCGGUAAUAGGGAUGGCGGUUAGGACCCCCAAUCCCCCCCUCUCUUACCCCUGGUAUUAUUAACUGGUCUUUUCGGUCUCGAAAAUUGCACCUCCAUCAAGGAAUACGAAAUGGGAUGUACUACAGCUGGAUACCUAGGGCAAACACUGUUUUUUUUUUUUUUUUUUUUUGUAAAAAUCUGAUUGAUGACAACUCGUAUAUAUAUUAUUUGAUAAUUUAAAUUAACGAAUGUACAAACAAGUUAUAUAAAAUCAGCAGGCAUAUAUUUGUAAUAACAGAUAAAUGAACUCUUAAUUCCUGGAAUAUUUACUUUUAAAUAGAAUCCAAACUUUAUAACUAUUCCUGUGUUAAAUAUUUGGUCGUUGUUACUAUAGAGUAAAGCAGACGUUCUAGGUUUGUUAGUUGUCAUUCUCUCUUUGAGACUA